rnacentral:rRNA from 1 species
GACGUAGGGGGCCAGCGUUGUUCGGAAUUACUGGGUGUAAAGGGUUCGUAGGCGGUGCGGCAAGUUGGGAGUGAAAUCUCUGGGCUUAACCCAGAGGCUGCUUCCAAAACUGCUGUGCUUGAGUGUGGGAGAGGCGCGUGGAAUUGCAGGUGUAGCGGUGAAAUGCGUAGAUAUCCGGAGGAACACCGGUGGCGAAGGCGGCUUCCUGGACCGACACUGACGCUGAGGCGCGAAAGCUAGGGGAGCAAACGGG